rnacentral:rRNA from 1 species
UAGUCCACGCCGUAAACGAUGUCUACUUGGAGGUUGUUCCCUUGAGGAGUGGCUUUCGGAGCUAACGCGUUAAGUAGACCGCCUGGGGAGUACGGUCGCAAGAUUAAAACUCAAAUGAAUUGACGGGGGCCCGCACAAGCGGUGGAGCAUGUGGUUUAAUUCGAAGCAACGCGCAGAACCUUACCUGGGCUUGAACUCCUGAGAAGUCGGAGUAAUGUCUGAUGUGCCCUUCGGGGAACUCAGUGAGAGGUGCUGCAUGGCUGUCGUCAGCUCGUGUUGUGAAAUGUUGGGUUAAGUCUCGCAACGAGCGCAACCCCUAUCUUUAGUUGCCAGCAUUAAGUUGGGCACUCUAGAGAAACUGCCGGUGACAAGCCGGAGGAAGGUAAGGAUGACGUCAAGUCAGCAUGCCCCUUACGCUCUGGGCUACACACGUGCUACAAUGGUCGUGACAAAGAGUUGCUAGCCUGCGAAGGCAAGCCAAUCUCAUAAACGCGGCCUUAGUUCGGA